CCCUUACCUGUAUGCCAAAUAUGUCCGUUCCAUAUCUUUUCAAUCUGUUGCCUCUUUAAAGGUGCUAUUUACACCCUUUUUGGAAAAUUCUAUUUGUAAGCACACUUGAAAAGCUUGAUGAUGGUUGCAUCAUAUGAUGCUUGUUUUGAAUGUCUGUAUACAAAAGUAUGUGAAUUGAGGUUGAUUUGUAUGCUUAACUUUGACAUGCAAGGCUGUCAUGACAUUUUUACAUGCAUGCCUUGAGAUCUCUCAUAAUGGAUAGUGGCUUAUCAGGGAAAUGGCAAUAUUUUGAGAUGAAAUCGAUGUCUUUGGCCCUGGAAUUUGAACAUGUAUUUGAAAUGCCCUCCUACGGGGCCCAAUGAAAUUCAUAUCAUUUGAUGCCUAAUCUAAACAUGCAGAAAUUUACUUAUGGGAGGCUAGUUUUGUUAUUUGCUUUAGACUAUCCAUGUCUUUUGGCCUGUAGCCCCCUUUCAUAUAUGCUAAAUAUGUCAGUUUUUGAAAAUUUCUCUUUUAAGCAUAUUGCAGAGCUUAAUGGUGGUUAUUGAGAUUGAUUUGUAGGCUUGACCUUGACGUCAAAGCUCGAUGACAAUUGCACACCAUUUGAUGCUUGUUAUGAAUGCUUAUAUACUAAAGUGGACUAAUUGAGAUCGAUUUGGAGGUUUGACCUUGACAUGCAUAAGAGUCAUAACGUUCCUCACAUGCAUGCCUUGAGAUCUUUCAAAAUGGAUAUGUGGCCUAUUAGAAAAAUGACAGUAUUGUGAAAUGGAAUAGAUGCCUUUGACCCAAUUAUUCAAAUGCUUAGUGCAAUUCAUGUAUUUAACUUUGAAUACAGGUAUGAUCUGUUUCUUUUGUUUUAAUUGUCGUGCAAUACAGCUAUUUUGAAUUCAUUCUGUAAGUGCACUAAAAUAUUCCCCCUUUCUACUUCUUGUUAAUGUUGGGUAGCAGGUAUCCCGCACAUCUAAAAUCAUGUGGGAAGACCAAAGUGGCUUACUUUUUUUUGUUGGGGUAUGCAUAUUUUAUUUUCCCAUUUUAUAUUGCUUUACAAUGAUUGAGAUUAAUGUUGAUGUAGAACUGGCAUCGUUUUCAUGAUUCAUUAUCCUUCAAGUUUUUUAACGCUCGGUGGGGUAAGUUGCGCUUUAGAACUUUUUUUCCAUUUUCUCUACAACAUGUUCAGUGCAGAUUGAUUGAACAAAAUAAUCUUACCCUAUCCUUGAUUUCUAUGUUUUGGAGAUACAUAUACAGAAUAUUAAGCUGACCUUUUCAUACCAUUCCUGUAUUUAACAGUUUUGCUGUUGAUGAAUUUUUUAUGUCCACGGGUAAUUAAAGGAACUAAGAAUUGAAAUGACAGUAAUUAUCGUUUUGACUGGUUAGGAUUGUUUUGUAAGGAUUUUGGCCCGGGGGUUCCCUUUUUCCUGGCAAUUUCAGUCGUGUCAUAAGAGACAUAUAGUGUUGUUAUUUCCUUAGAGCAGUUUUUCUUUUGGUUUCUCCAUGUUAUUUGUUUGUGUAGGUAUGGUCUAGCUCUAAGGGUCAUGAUUAUGGGACUCUUUCUGUUUUUUAAAAAAAGGAAUUGUAAUUAUGGUUUUCAAGUUCUUCCUUUUCAAUUUCCUUUGGUUGUCUUUUAAAGCUAGAAUGGCAUCAGUUUUCAUGAAAAUCAAAAUUUUCCAAUUAGAGCUUAGACGGUUCCUGUUCAUCAGCAUAUGUGAGAACAUGCUACUUUGGCAUGGCAGUGGAUUAUCAAUACAAUUUUAUCUGAUUUCAAGCAGAACUCUAGCUGUGCGAAUGAAAAUGAAAAGGCUCCAUCAGUUGACAGCAAGUUACAUGAGCCUUCUGCAAUAUGAUGACAUUAGAUAGAUUAUUCCUGUGUUAAUGUUGAUAUUUGCAUCUAAAUCAUAUGACAAAUUAAAAAUAUCCGUAUACUGAUGAUUGGACUGAUUCUAGUCUUCUAAAAAUCGUAAAGCAUAGAUGAAUAGGUUUACACAGAUAAAAUUUAGACAUGUAUAUAGGGAGGGGAAUUCCUGUGCGGAUUGCCUCGCUAGUAUAUGUUUUGAGUUAGAAGAGGUUUUUACUGUUUUUGAUAUGCCUAUGAGAAAGGUAAAGGAGUAGUUGUACAAGGACUUAGUGGGAGUUGCUUUCCCACAUAUGAUUUUGAAUCAAUAAGAUUGGGCUCUUAGACCCGUACUAUUCACACACACAAAAAAAUCUGUGUAUUUUGUUUGUGAAUUCUUUCACCGAAGCAUCCCAUUAUGCUCCCUCAAGUGGUUGACAUUAUCAAAUCUCGCUUCUUAACUUCUUACUUGGCGUAUUGAAGAAAAUAUCAGUUCUUGAACUCAACAACGGAGACUUGACAAUAACUGGCAGGUGCACAUACAGGGCAAAUAUUUACCCUUUUCACUUCAGAUCUGUGCCUCUAGAUGUGUCUAUCAUUUGAAGGCUUGACCUUGCCAUGAAAAGCCGCCAUAAUGUUCCUUACACACAUGGCUUGAGAUCUCUCAAAAUGGACAUCUGGCUUAUUAGAGAAAUGACAACAUUUUGAAAAGAGAUAUAUGCCUUUGGUCUUGGGAUAUGAAAUGCGCUCCUAUGAGGCUUAAUGAAAUUCAUAUGCCGAAUCUGAAUGUGCAGAAAUUUACUUAUGGUGGUUUACUUUUGUGUUA